UCGUACGGUUUUACUCGUACAUUGCGGUAUUGAACGGGAAAAAUAUUAAGAAAAAACCGUGUCCUCACGUUUUUACCUCCGUUCCUAUCGCAGUUUACCGUUGUUGUACGAUGAUUUAGUUUUUUUCUGAUACGGUACUCCCUUGCUUGUUACAAAUAAUAAUAAAUAACGGGGUUUUUCGCUCGUUUCGUCAUCAAACAAUAAAUACUAAAAAAAAUUAACAAUUUUAAUU